AAACGUCCACAAAUUCGAUGGAAUGAUGGUUGGGUAGCCAAGGUCUUCUAUCUCUAGGGUAUUGAUUGGAACCACAAAUUGCAUUUUGAGUUGCCUGCGGGGAACACGUCUUCCAAUUAAUAUGCAUGUGGCAGAGCACACCAAGCUGAUCUCACCUUUAAAUUAUCAUCUAUGCAUAACAAUGCGGGUGGCAUCAAACACUGUUGAAUGAA
rnacentral:misc_RNA from 1 species